rnacentral:rRNA from 1 species
UACGUAGGGUGCAAGCGUUAAUCGGAAUUACUGGGCGUAAAGCGUGCGCAGGCGGUUUUGUAAGUUUGUCGUGAAAGCCCCGGGCUCAACCUGGGAAUGGCGAUGAAGACUGCAAGGCUUGAAUCUGGCAGAGGGGGGUAGAAUUCCACGUGUAGCAGUGAAAUGCGUAGAGAUGUGGAGGAACACCGAUGGCGGAGGCAGCCCCCUGGGUCAAGAUUGACGCUCAUGCACGAAAGCGUGGGGAGCAAACAGG